AGGCUUCCCUCCACCAUGGCUACCAAUCUCUCAGUUCCUUUGGCUUUUGUGGCACUUCUUCACUUGGCUAAUGAGAAAAACUUGGAGCUGCACAAGAUUGACUGCAUGACCGAUAUCAUCAUUAAACAAGGCCACUGAAAACUGAUACAGAACUUUCAUACAAAAAUCUUUUUGUAUCAAAAUGAAAAUGCAGAUUCUUAUGUUCUUUAUGUCAUGUAAAAUACCUAUGUGUGGCCAAUACAGUAUAGUCAAGAGAAGAAUUAUGUCAGGAUCAUGUUAAAAAAGGUGUACAGGGAACUAGCACAGAAUUGUUUUUCUGAGUGAAACUGAAAGUUGUCAAAAGCAUGUACCAGGAAAG